GCAUUUCUUACUGGUGGAAAGUAAACCUGACCUUGGAGACAAAGAGUCUGGCCUGGUCUCAGGGAGAGAAGCGUGACUUUGACUGCCGAUGUGUUAGCUCUUCUGAUUGGGACACGUCAGAGCAAGAGAAGAGCAUCUCUAGUUGAAUUUAGAAAACGGCUUAAAUCUAAUUGGCUCCCUAAGGAUCUCAGUUCCUGUUACUUGUGAGGUGUUUUUUUUCUGAGAGGCAUCUGGAGAGAGUGAACUGCCUCUGCUAGUUGGCAGGCAAGGAGACAGCACAGAUCUGGGGCACUGGGAGUCCAGCGUGCAUGUUGUCUCUGCCACUGUGGAGCUAUCUAGCCCCAGGUCAUCCGCAGCCAGUAUGAUGCCAUCUUUAUAAUCCCUGGAGGAGAACGUGCUCAUCAUGAGCAGGUGAAGGAGUGUAUUGGGCUUCCCUGAUGGCUCAGAUGGUAAAGAAUCUGCCAGCAGUGUGGGAGACCUCGGUUCCAUCCUUGCAUCGGGAAGUUGCUCUGGAGGAGGGCACAGCAACCCACUCCAGUAUUCUUGCCUGGAGAAUCCCCAGGGACAGAGGAGCCUGGUGGGCUACAGUCCAUGGGGUCACAACAAGUUGGACUCUUCAGUUUGUGGAUUAUCCACAUGCUGUAUUUUCCACUCUGUUUCAAGUAUUACAAUAAAGAACAGAAC
ensembl:lncRNA